UCCGGUUGAUCCUGCCAGAGGCCGCUGCUAUCCGGCUGGGACUAAGCCAUGCUAGUCUAGGGGCUUGUACCCCUUCGGGGGUGCAAGCACCGGCGGACGGCUCAGUAACACGUGGACAACCUGCCCUCGGGUGGGGGAUAACCCCGGGAAACUGGGGCUAAUCCCCCAUAGGUGAUGGGUGCUGGAAUGCCCCAUCUCCGAAAGCGCUCAGCGCCCGAGGAUGGGUCUGCGGCGGAUUAGGUAGUUGGUGGGGUAACGGCCCACCAAGCCUAAGAUCCGUACGGGCUGUGGGAGCAGGAGCCCGGAGAUGGACCCUGAGACAAGGGUCCAGGCCCUACGGGGCGCAGCAGGCGCGAAACCUCCGCAAUGCGGGAAACCGCGACGGGGUUAGCCGGAGUGCCCGUGCAUUGCACGGGCUGUCGGGGUGCCUAAACAGCACCCCAUAGCAAGGGCCGGGCAAGGCCGGUGGCAGCCGCCGCGGUAAGACCGGCGGCCCGAGUGGCGGCCACUCUUAUUGGGCCUAAAGCGUCCGUAGCCGGCCCAGUAAGUCCCCCGGGAAAUCUGGUCGCUUAACGAUCAGACUUCCGGGGGAUACUGCUGGGCUAGGGACCGGGAGAGGCCGAGGGUAUUCCCGGGGUAGGGGUGAAAUCCU
rnacentral:rRNA from 1 species